rnacentral:rRNA from 1 species
UACGGAGGGGGCUAGCGUUGCUCGGAAUUACUGGGCGUAAAGCGCACGUAGGCGGCUUUGUAAGUUAGAGGUGAAAGCCCGGGGCUCAACUCCGGAAUUGCCUUUAAGACUGCAUCGCUCGAAUUGUGGAGAGGUAAGUGGAAUUCCGAGUGUAGAGGUGAAAUUCGUAGAUAUUCGGAAGAACACCAGUGGCGAAGGCGACUUACUGGACACAUAUUGACGCUGAGGUGCGAAAGCGUGGGGAGCAAACAGG